UUUUGUAUUUUAAAACAAACGAAACUGUUAUCCAAUUGUAAAUUAUUAAUUUAUAUACAUAUUUAAAAAACAAACAAACAAAAUAAAUUAUAAAUAAUUAUUAAUCAAAUGAAAUUACUAUAUUUUAAACUAUUACUACUACUACUACAACUAAUAUUUAAAAAUUUGCUGGCAAAUAUAUUAAUGUAUUAAUUUACAACAAACAAAAAUAUAUUUAAAACAAAAUACUACUACACAACAAAAAAAAUGAAAACUAAUGAAAAAUAUUGUGAUAGAACACGUUAAAAACACUCCUUUAUUUACUAUUACUACAAACAAAAUAUUAUAUAUGUAUGUAUAUAUCUAUAUCUUUAUAUAUAUAUAGCAAAUAUAUAUAUUUAAAAAACAAUUAUACACAUACAUAUGUGGAAAAAUAAAAGAAAAGCCUAAAAAAAUAGAAAAAACACAAUCAUUGUAAAAUCGUAUUAUGUAUUUAUAUUCAUUAUUAUAUUAUAUAUUCUAUAAACUCUGUGAAAGAGCAAAAAGAAUUAUAAUAUCAACGGCAGCUAUAACUAUAUAUUUUGUUUUUGUUGAUUUAAAAACAAAAACUGAUGCUAUAAAGUCAACAGACUGUGGAAACUUCUUUUUUUUAAAACUAAAUAUAUGUGCAAUGUUGCUUGUUCAUCAUCAUCGUCGCCAUCAACUACAACUUCUACAGAAUAUAAAGAGGGACUUUAUGAUGAAACUCAUUUAAAAAUAAUUUGUUUUGUUUUAUUCGACAAGAUUGCUUUGGCUCACCAUUCUUUAAUGCCUGCAUAGAGGCCUUGCAAUUGCAUGAGGAGAUGGAUAAAUACAAUGAAUGGCGUGAUACCUUGGGCAAAAAGUAAAUGGCCCUUACUAUCUAUUCCCUGACUCCUCUCUAUAUCAAACUCUCGCUUACUCCCAUUACAAAAAACAAACUCUACAAAUAUUCCAGAAAAAAUAUUUUAAAACAAAAUGCUAUUAAAAAAAUUACAAAAAAAAAAUAAAAAAUAAAGUAUUAUAAAUAAAAUCUUUUAAUUAUGCAUUAUGUUAAAGAAAUAGGUACCCAAAAAUGUUUGAUUUAGAAAAAAAAAUUUUAAAAAUUAUAUAAUUGAUGUAUGUGCAAAGAAAAAAUAUAAAAUUUAAUAAAUAUAUUUACAUAUACACCUAAAUAAAACAAAAUAUUUAAUUUUAUCUUCUAUACAUAUUUAUGUAUGUAAGUAUAAAUCCAAGAAUCUUUAUAAAAAAAACAUAUUUUUUUAACAAAUAUUCUUUGUACAGCUGUAGUUCAUUCAUUGUUUUUUAAUACAUAAUUAUUUUAAUAUAUUUGUAUAUUUAAAGAAAAGUAAUCUUACUCAAACAUUCAAUCUACUACAAGUAUUUCGAAAUUUUGUCUGAUGUAAAUAAGUUUAACAUUUAUUAUAUAUACAACUAUUAUUUACUUUUAUGUAUAAAUUAUAAUUCUAUUUAAGUUUAUUUUUUUUUAUAUAAUUUGGUAAUUAUUUUAUUAUUUUAAAUAUUUUAAGUUUUACUAAUUUUUGGCAAAGAUUUGUUUUGUAUUAAUGCAUUGAUGAAAUGUUUUUUAACAUAAUGUAAUAUUUUCUUUUUUUUAAAUGUAUUGUUUAAUUUGAAACUUCUUUGGAUCUAGUCGUAAAAUAAAGAUUGUAUAUUUCAAUGAAAAUAAA